rnacentral:lncRNA from 1 species
AAAAGAGUAACUGAAUAGAAACUAUAAUAUCAAUUUAUGCAAAUAAUACAGAACAAGUCAUAUGUCUCAACAAAUCAAAAUAGGAUCGUCUCCUGAUCCCUAAUUAUUAAAACAUAGCUACUCGUACUAACAAGAAUUAUAACAGAAGUAAUAAAGAAACAAUAUAUGAAUAUCUGGUUAGAACUUGGCUUUCGCUGAUGAAAAUCUUCGUUCCAGAGCUCCAUAAAUUGCUUUUUCGUCAAACUUUUGUACCAAGAAUGUCCCCCAAUUUUUC